rnacentral:rRNA from 1 species
CCUACGGGAGGCAGCAGUAGGGAAUUUUCGUCAAUGGGGGGAACCCUGAACGAGCAAUGCCGCGUGAGCGAGGAAGGUCUUCGGAUCGUAAAGCUCUGUUGCCGGGGACAAAAGGCAGAAAGAGUGGAAAGCUUUCUGAGUGAUGGUACCCGGCGAGGAAGUCACGGCUAACUACGUGCCAGCAGCCGCGGUAAUACGUAGGUGGCGAGCG